rnacentral:piRNA from 1 species
UCUUCUCGACCUUCUGAAUACUGGCUGCC